CCGGAGAAUGUUAUCACGGGAGACACACGGCGGGUGCUAACGUCCGUCGUGAAGAGGGAAACAACCCAGACCGCCAGCUAAGGUCCCAAAGUCAUGGUUAAGUGGGAAACGAUGUGGGAAGGCCCAGACAGCCAGGAUGUUGGCUUAGAAGCAGCCAUCAUUUAAAGAAAGCGUAAUAGCUCACUGGUCGAGUCGGCCUGCGCGGAAGAUGUAACGGGGCUAAACCAUGCACCGAAGCUGCGGCAGCGAACGUAUCACUUAAAGCGAUUCAGCGGGUUACGAUUGACGGAGCGAAGCGACGUCAAAGCGUAUACAAAGUCGAGUCGGUUUAAGGAUACGUUCGUUGGGUAGGGGAGCGUUCUGUAAGCCCGUGAAGGUGGCCUGUGAGGGUUGCUGGAGGUAUCAGAAGUGCGAAUGCUGACAUAAGUAACGAUAAAGCGGGUGAAAAGCCCGCUCGCCGGAAGACCAAGGGUUCCUGUCCAACGUUAAUCGGGGCAGGGUGAGUCGACCCCUAAGGCGAGGCCGAAAGGCGUAGUCGAUGGGAAACGGGUUAAUAUUCCCGUACUUGGUGUUACUGCGAAGGGGGGACGGAGAAGGCUAUGUUGGCCGGGCGACGGUUGUCCCGGUUUAAGCGUGUAGGUGUGUGUUCCAGGUAAAUCCGGUUCACUUUAACACUGAGGCGUGACGACGAGGCACUACGGUGCUGAAGCAACAAAUGCCCUGCUUCCAGGAAAAGCCUCUAAGCAUCAGGUAACACGAAAUCGUACCCCAAACCGACACAGGUGGUCAGGUAGAGAAUACCAAGGCGCUUGAGAGAACUCGGGUGAAGGAACUAGGCAAAAUGGUGCCGUAACUUCGGGAGAAGGCACGCUGACACGUAGGUGAAGUGAUUUACUCAUGGAGCUGAAGUCAGUCGAAGAUACCAGCUGGCUGCAACUGUUUAUUAAAAACACAGCACUGUGCAAACACGAAAGUGGACGUAUACGGUGUGACGCCUGCCCGGUGCCGGAAGGUUAAUUGAUGGGGUCAGCGUAAGCGAAGCUCCUGAUCGAAGCCCCGGUAAACGGCGGCCGUAACUAUAACGGUCCUAAGGUAGCGAAAUUCCUUGUCGGGUAAGUUCCGACCUGCACGAAUGGCGUAAUGAUGGCCAGGCUGUCUCCACCCGAGACUCAGUGAAAUUGAACUCGCUGUGAAGAUGCAGUGUACCCGCGGCAAGACGGAAAGACCCCGUGAACCUUUACUAUAGCUUGACACUGAACAUUGAGCCUUGAUGUGUAGGAUAG
rnacentral:rRNA from 1 species